rnacentral:pre_miRNA from 1 species
CUUGAGGGGGGUCCCUCAGUCCAGAUUGUGAGAGGGCGCAGGCCAGGCCGAGGGACCCCAUUGGUGCACG